AGAGUUUGAUCCUGGCUCAGAACGAACGCUGGCGGCGUGGAUAAGACAUGCAAGUCGAGCGCUGAUUACGAGGUAGCAAUAUUUCGUGGUCGGAGCGGCGCAAGGGUGCGUAACACGUGGGUAAUCUGCCAUAAAGUCUGGAAUAACUUGCUGAAAGGCGAGCUAAUGCCGGAUGUGAAAAUCGGAAGGCAUCUUCUGAUUUUUAAAGUUGGGGACCGUAAGGCCUGACGCUUUACGAUAAGCCCGCGGCCUAUCAGCUAGUUGGUGAGGUAACGGCUCACCAAGGCUAAGACGGGUAGCUGGUCUGAGAGGGCGACCAGUCACACUGGAACUGAGACACGGUCCAGACACCUACGGGUGGCAGCAGUCGAGAAUUUUUCUCAAUGGGCGAAAGCCUGAAGGAGCGACGCCGCGUGGGGGAUGAA
rnacentral:rRNA from 1 species